GCCGAUAGGCGUAGUCGAAGGACAACAGGUCGAAAUUCCUGUACCACCGUAAUCCGUUAUGAGCGAUGGGGUGACGCAGUAGGGUAGUGACGCGGACUGAUGGAUGUCCGUCUAAGCAGUGAGGCUGGUGUGUAGGCAAAUCCGCACAUCGUUAAGGCUGGGCUGUGAUGGGGAGCGAAAAUUGUAGUAGCGAAGGUCAUGAUCUCAGACUGCCAAGAAAAGCCUCUAGCCAGGAGAAGGUGCCCGUACCGCAAACCGACACAGGUAGGCGAGAAGAGAAUUCUAAGGCGCGCGGAAGAACUCUCGUUAAGGAACUCGGCAAAAUGACCCCGUAACUUCGGGAGAAGGGGUGCCUCGGUAGGGUGAAUAGCCCGAGGGGGCCGCAGUGAAAAGGCCCAAGCGACUGUUUAGCAAAAACACAGGUCUGUGCGAAGCCGCAAGGCGAAGUAUACGGGCUGACGCCUGCCCGGUGCUGGAAGGUUAAGGGGAGUGGUAAGCUCGCAAGAGCGAAGCUAUGAACCGAAGCCCCAGUAAACGGCGGCCGUAACUAUAACGGUCCUAAGGUAGCGAAAUUCCUUGUCAGGUAAAUUCUGACCCGCACGAAUGGCGUAACGACUUGGGCGCUGUCUCAACGAGAGAUCCGGUGAAAUUUUAAUACCUGUGAAGAUGCAGGUUACCCGCGACAAGACGGAAAGACCCCAUGGAGCUUUACUGCAGCUUGAUAUUGAAUUUGGGUACGAUCUGUACAGGAUAGGUGGGAGCCAU
rnacentral:rRNA from 1 species